AAAAAACAAUGGAGUUUAGAGUUUCAGGAUAGUAAAUCCAUGGGAAAAAAAAAUGAAGAGAGAAAACUUUCCCAAGUGUACUUUCAAUAAAAGGUCACCUUGGCCACAGUGACAAUCUAGCAUGGUUUGAUAGCAAAGCGAAGUUAAGGGGAAAUGAGAAGGGUGUUCAUUCAGUGGAAAUAUAUCUGAAGAUUUAAUGCAGUGACAAGUCAUCUUGGUAUGAAUCUACAGGGAUCAGUGACCUAGCAAGAGGCUCGUAUCAGGGGCUAUUAUAUGGCUUUGAGUUUAUGAGCAUGUAGUCAUGUGUAGAUGCUAGAAGCCCUGCCGUAAGCAGUACUUGACUGAAAGGCUGGAAACAAAAUUCUUUGUGUUUUGGACUGUGCCAGCCCUGGACAAGUGGGCAUGAAGCAGCAGGGCUCAUUCAAAGGGCUUUGGGUCUUUAAACACUGUUCGCACUGAGAGGAAAACUGAAGAAAGACAAAGUGACCUUUGAUAUCUAUCUAUUGGGGAAAUGUAAACAUGUUUUCCUGGUUUUAAUCCCUUGAUACUGGAGUGUGCAAAUGGAGAAACAGGUCCUGUCAAAAGAAUUGGGGAAACAUACUUCGCUUUUCUUGGGUUUCAAGUAUGGUUUUCAGCCCAUUUGUACCAGCAUAAAGAGAGAAGUGUCUAUCAUUGACCCCAGAAGGUCUCUCCAUUAAUUUAUCUCUACUAUUACCACUGUUUUAGUUAAAACAGUAGGAGAUCUCAAUUAGUGAGUCACUGGAUCACCAGAUAAGGGAUGAAGAACAGUCACAACCUUUUAGAUUGGUCUUUCUUGCCUUUUAGAGUUGUUUCUGUCUCUGCAGACUGUUCCCAAAAUUAUAUUUGUCACUAGGAUUUGAGAUCUCAUAACCUUUAUAUCUUUCCUUUCAGAGAUUCCUGGUGACUUUCUCUACAGUUUCUACUGUCACUUGUACACCUCCUGACAGAUGUUCCUCUACAGUGGAAGGAAACUACUGGUAUCAGGUAUUUUUUAUUAGGUAAAAAAGAUGCUGACCUGGACUGGCUCCCAGAGCCCCAAACAGCUGCUCUCUCACUGCCCCUCCUCAGCAGGACAGGGACAAAAGAGGAUGGAAAAGCUCAUGGGUUGAGGCAAAGAGAGGGAGAUCACUUACCAGCUACCAUCUUGGACAAAACAGACUUAACCUGGGGAAAAUUAGUUUCAUCUAUUGACAAUUGAAAAUACAGUUUUAAGGUGACAAAGACCAAAACUGCUGGGCCCAGCUGUGCCCUGUGGUGGGGCCAGCAUGGGGCAGCCCUGCCAUCGCCCUGCGCUGCGGCAACACUGCUGAUCCACGGGUGCCCAGUACAGAGGUGUGAGGUGAGUCCUUUAAUGUGGAUCUAGGAUCUCUGAUUCUAGUUUUGGCAGAGCUCCCCCAUGCUCUGUGGAUGACUCAACAUAUUUGUGAGGUAAGCUCAGGUUGUAGGUGAUGAUAGAAAAUGGGUUGAAACUUUUUGCACUGUUGCAAUGUUAGAGCAUGUGGAACAAUCCUCCACUCAGUGAAAGGCACUCGUACACUUUCACGUAUUUUCUCUGAAUUCUUCACAGUAAAGGGUGUUGCUGAGUUUAGUAUUAUUUUGUAUGCCCACUGCUUUUCGCAACUGUUUCAUUGUAACACCAUCCAAGUCUCCAUCUUUGAGGAUGACUGAAAUGUCUGAAAUGGUGACAUGACUGAAAUGCAGGUAUUUUAAGUCAUUGAUCCACGUGGAUUUUUUUUUUUCCCAACUUUUCUUUGAAAAUAUCUGUUGAUGAGUAUAUUGUUCCUGUCAGGACUGACCUUCUUUACUGAUACCUUCCAAUUAAUGCUUUAAGUAUUCAUCCCAAGAGUCGCCAGCUUUUUCUCAUUUGCUUUCUGGAGAGAGUCAAAAUGGCUUUUAAUAGUCCCCGAAGCUGUUUCCAAAGUCAGCUCUCUCAGUGGACCUGAAGGAAAAGACAUCAGGCAAAGCUGUCAUGUCCUCAGAGUUUAUCGUUAUAGAAAUGUUCAUUAAUGGUGGCAGUGCAGGGAAAAGCUGACACUAUUAUUUCUCUACCAUAUCAAGAGCAAACAAGAUUAUUUAAUAAGUAAACAUAAUGCAAAGCAGAAGAAAAAUGAAUGAUGUAGUAGUUGUCUCUUUCGAACAUAGCGUUCUGUAAUGAUACAAAUCAGGACACCAAUGUACUCUGUGAAAGCAAAAAGUCC
ensembl:lncRNA